AAAUGUAGUCCCCGCCCGCCCCCCCUUCUCUGUGGCGCUUCCGGAUACCCUUCGGAGGCUGGCGUUCUUCCCUGUUCCGGUUCGGUUUCUCUGUCCCGCAGAAGCUCGAGCCGAUGCGGCGGAAAUCCUGCCUUCGCACUGCGUCGCCCUCAGCUGUUUCAAAAUGCCACAUCCGCUUCCCGCGAGAGGGACCCUCAGUGGUCUUUUCAGGGGUGUGGUAACGUGACUGGUGUGACUUGGAGCACGGGGGUGUAAUUUUUUUGCUCCUGGUUGCUUACUGACUUUGAGGUCAAGGAUGUGAAAGCAAAUGUCGUUUAGGUAAUAAAGACUACCGCUUUACUGAGUGCCUGGUGUUUGCCAAGGCAGUGUCACAUAUUCCAAACGCUAUAGGGUGUUUACGAAUGAGGAAAUGGAGGUCUACGGUAACGGAUCUGCCCAAGAACCCACAAUUUAGUAGUGUGGAUUUCCAAUCAAGGAGAAUAGCUUGAGAAAGAAAAUUGAGAUUAUUCAGAUGAAGGUAUUUAAAAGUAGCUCAUUCAUAUAGCUGUGCUGGUUCAGAUUUGGUAACUCCUACUGAAACACAAUGAUGAAUAUGAUGAAUUAGUUCCUAAGCUGCCUUCCAUUUAUGUGAACAACCUAUAAUUCUACCUAAAAUAUAUAAAAAGGUAAACAUUUAAAAAUCUAACAUAGAUAAAAAGACAAAAUGAGAAAAAAAAUACCCUUGAGAGUGAUUUGGAAAUGCCAUCUAUUAUGAAUUGAAUGUUUGUGUCCCCAAAAUUUGUAUGUUGAGGCCCUAACCUCAAUGUGACUUUAUUUCGAGACAGAGCCUGUGAUAAAGGUUAAAUGAGAUCAUAAGGGUGGAAAUCUAAUCUACUAGGGCUAGUCCCCUUACAAGAAGAGGAAGAAACACCAUAGCUCUUUCCCUCCACUAUAUGAGGACAUACCAAAAGGUGGCCACCUGUAAGCCAGGAGGAGAACUCUCACCAGAAACCACAUUGGCCAGCAACUUGAUCUUGGACUCCCCAGCCUCUAGAAGUAUGAGAAAUAAACUUCCAUUGGUUAAGCCA